CCUACGGGAGGCAGCAGUGAGGAAUAUUGGUCAAUGGGCGUAAGCCUGAACCAGCCAAGUCGCGUGAGGGAUGAAGGUUCUAUGGAUCGUAAACCUCUUUUAUAAGGGAAUAAAGUGUGGGACGUGUCCUGUUUUGUAUGUACCUUAUGAAUAAGGAUCGGCUAACUCCGUGCCAGCAGCCGCGGUAAUACGGAGGAUACGAGUGUUAUCCGGAUUUAUUGGGUUUAAAGGGUGCGUAGGCGGCCUUUUAAGUCAGCGGUGAAAGUCUGUGGCUCAACCAUAGAAUUGCCGUUGAAACUGGGAGGCUUGAGUAUGUUUGAGGCAGGCGGAAUGCGUGGUGUAGCGGUGAAAUGCUUAGAUAUCACGCAGAACCCCGAUUGCGAAGGCAGCCUGCCAAGCCAUGACUGACGCUGAUGCACGAAAGCGUGGGGAUCAAACAGGAUUAGAUACCCGGGUAGUC
rnacentral:rRNA from 1 species